GGGAAUGUGGCUUAGUAGAAGAGUGCUUGCUUAGCAUGCAUGAAGCCCUGAGUUCAAUUCCUCAGUCCCA
rnacentral:tRNA from 1 species